CUCCUAUGCAGAUACCUCUUUGUGAGAUGCCAAACAAAGAGGAAUUUUGCAUGGGAAGA
rnacentral:pre_miRNA from 1 species